GUAUUUCCUGAGGAUACAGUGGCUACAUUGAGCAAUAGUGCUAAUUCAAGUUUUGUCCAAAGGUGAGAGUCUUUAUCAUGAACUGGCAUUGUUUUGGCACCGAGAGAGCUACCAUGAACAUUGUGUGACGUUUUCUGUGCAUGCCAGUCGUUGUGGAGGGGGUAGUGGAGGCGUGUAGUGACGGAGUACUAUGUCCAAGUUCGCCCUGUGGCAUGCAAAGAGUUCUGAUAGUUACCAGAUACAUAUUGAUAUGGGGGACCCAGUUUCUGGGGGAAAUAGAUCAGGCGAGGUUUGUGGUGGCCGAACUCGUAAACGAAUCCUAGAUCCUUUGGAAGCCCAUGAGGAUGAUAGCAAUGCUCGCCGUCUUGGAGUCUUCACUGAUUGGCAAGAAGCAAUAAAGAGUAUAGGCGUGCCAAGCAAAAAAGAUACAUUUCGACCUGUGGUGGGAACAACGUUUUUGGAGGUGCAGCAGCCAAAAGGUUUUAUCUCUGUAGAAGGGGGCCAUCAGAGACAUUGGGAGUCAGAGGACAUUGAUCAAGGGCUGGCAGCAGAUUUUGACGACUCCCUUUCAGGUUUAGGAGUAGACAUAAGCACCGCAUCGUACAACAUGAGUGAGGCUUUACUUGCUCUUCCCUCUGUGUCACAGUUUAAGGAGGAGGCUGCAUCCCCAAACCAAGACAAGCAAAGUGUUACAUCAUCCACUCCUGCAACAUUUGAUGAUUCCUCACAAAGCAAUACAACUGACAGACUUUUCAAGCUUUUGAGCAGUGAUAGUAUAUCAGAAGGUGCUCCACCUACCAUUCAUCAGCUACUUCAGCAACACCUAACUCCUGGGGCCAACCCGGGAACAUUGCAGCACCAAACAGCCUCAUCUGCAAAUCUUGCUUCCUGCCACCACUCUGCCCUCUCAUCCGUCCAUUCAUCAAACACAGAUGUCACACAUGAACCUGUUUCUGUCUCCUCACAAAAUAUGUCUUAUGAAGACAGCAGGUUUCAGUAUAUAUUGGGUGCUGCAACAUCUGUGGCAACAAAGGUGAACGAAGAAAGCUUAUCGUACCUGAACCAAGGCCAGUCUUAUGAAAUCAAAGUAAAAAAACUGGGUGAUCUCACAAGCUGUAAAGGAAAAUUGUACCAUAGUGUAAUACGAGUAUGUUUCCACGAGCGGCGUCUACAAUACAUGGAGAGACAACAACUGGAGAGUUGGAGACAGAUGAGACCGGGAGAGAGAAUAUUGGAAGUUGAUAUUCCUCUCUCAUAUGGUGUAUUUGAUGUGCAACAAGACUUAAAAUCGCUCAACAUGUGUGAAUUUGACUGGGACCCAACAAAAGAAGUAGGAGUCUAUAUAAAGGUAAAUUGCAUCAGCACUGAAUUCACCCCUAAAAAACAUGGUGGAGAGAAAGGUGUACCUUUUCGUAUUCAGGUGGAGACGUACAACCAAACUAGUUCUGGACUUGAACGAUUACAUGUGUGUGCUUGUCAAAUCAAAGUUUUUAAGCUGAAAGGAGCAGAUAGAAAACACAAACAAGACAGAGAGAAAAUAAUGAAGAGAUCUCUCUCGGAACAAGAAAAAUACCAGCCAUCUUGCGAGUGCACCAUCUUAACAGAGUUGUCUCCUGAAGCAGUUUAUGUACCUGUCACUGAUUCGUCAUCACCCAUAGCAACACCUAUUGCUGGUGUAAAAAGUCUAUCAUUGCGGGGACACAGUCCAUCAAGCGAUAUAAAAACUGACCCAUCAUCCUCAGAACCAUUAAAAAUUAUUGAAAAUGGCAAUCCGCAUGAUCCAGACGAAGAACAAGAUAAUCCGGUAAGCAAGAUUGAUAACUUUGCAAGUGGUCUCUCGCUCAAGGGGAAACUGAUAUUCCAGAAAUACUAUGGUGCUCCUCUCAAUACUGGAAGCAGUACAACUCAGACUACAGCUUGGUUAAUGGCCAAUCGUUUUAACAAGUACACCAGCAUGUUUUCAAAUUUCUCCGGUACCGAUAUCUUAAGACUGUCUCGCUCAGACCUCAUAGAAAUGUGUGGCAUGGCUGAUGGACUUAGACUAUUUUAUGCCCUACAUGCUAACAGGAAUGUAGUGCCAAGACUAACCCUCUAUGUGUGUCUAGAGCAUGAGCAGCUGUAUCAUGCAGUGUACCUGGAGAACCUCACCUGUGUCGACUUCACACGCAAAUUGUCAGCUCUAAUGCAGAUUACACCUGAACGUAUUCAUGAUGUGUAUUUGCAAGGGCCAUCAGGGAUCCACAUUAUGGUUACAGACGAGGUGGUGCAAAACAUGGCAGAGGAAUCCAUGCUAUCCAUUGAGGUGCUACAAGAUACUGCUGGGGAAAGGUUCAGAUUAUUAUUAAGAAUAAACAACAGUCAACCCAAUCUUCCACAGUCUUAGUAUAGGUUCAUACAUUUAAGCUGGUAAAUCUUGCCACAUGGGAUUUAAUUCAAAAGACUUGUGGGGUGGGCGACCAGGCCCCCGAGUCAGACUGUGAUGGAAGGAUGGGCUUUGUAGACCCCGCUACAUUGGGCCCAGACCAAGCUGCUUCUCUGACUCUCCCGACUGACCCUCGCUGCUCCCCUCCCACCUCUGUGGCAGGGUUGAGCCCGAGCUCCCAGUGGCGACCACCUCAUCUCCUCCAUGGUGUGGCUCCAUCUCUCGUUGUACCUUUUAUUGACAACUGUACCUUUUACGCCUUCUUACUGGGAUUGCUCGGCGCCGUCAUAUCCGCACUCGAACACUCAUGAUUCCUUCCCAAUCUACUACAUUCCAGGAUUUGUUUGGUCCUGCUAAAUAGACUAAGUAAUUUGAUCUCAGUCAUGUUGAUCCUGUGCAUCCUAAUGAUUUAUUUAUCCAUAAGCACCAGUGGAUAUCUUUGUCAUUUUAACCCCACCCGUUAUCUUGAGAUCUUGAGAUGAUUUCGGGGCUUUAGUGUCCCCGCGGCCCGGUCUUCGACCAGGCCUCCACCCCCAGGAAGCAGCCCGUGACAGCUGACUAACACCCAGGUACC
rnacentral:misc_RNA from 1 species